UGCGUAGGUGGUUUGAUAAGUUAGGUGUGAAAGCCCUGGGCUUAACCUGGGAACUGCGCCUAAUACUGUUGAACUUGAGUACUGUAGAGGAAGGUGGAAUUUCCGGUGUAGCGGUGAAAUGCGUAGAUAUCGGAAGGAACAUCAGUGGCGAAGGCGACUUUCUGGACAGAUACUGACACUGAGGCACGAAAGCAUGGGGAGGCAAACA
rnacentral:rRNA from 1 species